GUCUCUUAAGAGACAUCCAAUAAAAUUGGAAUGAUACAGAAAAUAUUAGCAUGAUGCCUACGCAAGGAUGCCACGCAUAAAUCAAAAAAAGGUCCCCAAAACA
rnacentral:snRNA from 1 species